rnacentral:rRNA from 1 species
AUUGAACGCUGGCGGCAUGCCUAACACAUGCAAGUCGAACGGGGCAGCAAUGCCUAGUGGCGGACGGGUGAGGAAUACGUAGGAAUCUGCCCUUAAGUAGGGGAUAACCAGGGGAAACCCUGACUAAUACCGCAUGAUCUCUUCGGAGCAAAGAGGGGGACCGCAAGGCCUCUCGCUUCUGGAUGAGCCUACGUCUGAUUAGCUAGUUGGUAGGGUAAAGGCCUACCAAGGCGACGAUCAGUAACUGGUCUGAGAGGAUGAUCAGUCACACCGGAACUGAGACACGGUCCGGACUCCUACGGGAGGCAGCAGUGGGGAAUAUUGGACAAUGGGCGCAAGCCUGAUCCAGCAAUGCCGCGUGUGUGAAGAAGGCCUUCGGGUUGUAAAGCACUUUAGCCUGGAAAGAAAAAACUUUGGUUAACACCCAAAGUCUUGACGGUACCAGGAGAAUAAGCACCGGCUAACUCUGUGCCAGCCGCCGCUGAAAUAC